UGAGUAAACGGAAUUCCAAGAGAACGAACGAGAGCGAUUAACCUAAGUAUGAAUACCGCACGAGAGACUCAUGAGUAACCCGUUAUUCCGACCGUCGACCGGCACCAAUCAAACCUGACCUUGACCAAGUUUGACCAGGUUUGACCCGGUGUUGACUGGGUUGAACCGAACACCGAACCUGCUGAACCGUGUGCCCGAACAAGCCGAACCCGAACCUUGAAACCA
rnacentral:lncRNA from 1 species